rnacentral:rRNA from 1 species
GCUGGCGAGCGGCGGACGGGUGAGUAACGCGUGAGUGACCUACCCUCAGGUGGGGGAUAGCCACUGGAAACGGUGGGUAAUCCCGCAUGGGGUGCGUGUAUUGGGGUACACGCAUCAAAGCCCUUUGGGGGCGCCUGGGGAUGGGCUUGCGUCCGAUUAGCUAGUUGGUAGGGUAAAGGCCUACCAAGGCGACGAUCGGUAGCUGGCCUGAGAGGGUGGUCAGCCACACGGGGACUGAGACACGGCCCCGACUCCUACGGGAGGCAGCAGUGGGGAAUCUUGGGCAAUGGGCGGAAGCCUGACCCAGCCACGCCGCGUGCCGGAGGAAGGCCGAAAGGGUUGUAAACGGCUUUUCUGCGGGACUAAGUGGCGCCGAAGGGUGUCAUUGAAGGUACCGCAGGAAUAAGCACCAGCUAACUACGUGCCAGCAGCCGCGGUAAGACGUAGGGUGCGAGCGUUGUC